CUUCUCAAUGACCGGGAUAGCUUUGUAAUAGCUGAAUGACCUUCUGUCAUCUCCUAAGGCUUUGGGGGGACAAAAAACAAAAAAAAAAUGUUAGAAAGAGAGUUGAUUCCCGAAGUUUGAUCUGGUGGACUGUACAGCGAGGACGUGGGGUGCUCUGAAAGACCUGUCUGAUGACAUUAAUUCAUAAAGAAGAAAAGAAGAACAUUAGUUGUGCAAGGAAAAGCAUCCGCCUUGCUAAAAAACGACAAAGAAACAGAAAAAAUAAAAGGAAAAACGAAGCAGAUUCGCUUUAUUGCUAGCAAGAUUAGUAGCCAACAGAAAUAACAGAAGCUGGAUGUAUCAGUUACAGUAGCUAAGAAUCAGCAAUUAUUGUGACUAUGGAGCAUCGGUAUUCAUCACAUAAUAUGUCUAGAAAUUAAUCAAAACAUUUUUAUUUUUUCUCAAGAAGCUAUUUCUCCUCCUGCUUAUUUUUGUAACGGUGUCCUGUACCUAUAUUGAACAAGAGAAAAGGGAAGUUCCCUACAAAGCGUAAGGCGUAUAGGGGCCAAACAAACUGUUGCCCCAUCAUUAUUUGCUAGUAAUGGUACUAAAUUUUGUACGCCCGCUGCUCAUUUUAUCCUAUCCAUGACCAAUUGCCAGGGCAAAGCAUGGUAAAAUUAAGCUAACAUGAUAGUCGUCGGCACAUAAACAAUAACAGCCGACGUCAACAAAGAUGAAGGCAAAAAAUAGAACGAUAAAAGUAAAAUGGCUAUUAAAUCCACAAAACACUUUGCCAGUAAUUGGAACUAAAGCGUCGAUGGUAUUACAA